GAUGAACGCUGGCGGCGUGCCUAAUACAUGCAAGUCGAGCGAACAGAUGAGGAGCUUGCUCCUCUGACGUUAGCGGCGGACGGGUGAGUAACACGUGGAUAACCUACCUAUAAGACUGGGAUAACUUCGGGAAACCGGAGCUAAUACCGGAUAAUAUAUUGAACCGCAUGGUUCAAUAGUGAAAGACGGUUUUGCUGUCACUUAUAGAUGGAUCCGCGCCGCAUUAGCUAGUUGGUAAGGUAACGGCUUACCAAGGCAACGAUGCGUAGCCGACCUGAGAGGGUGAUAGGCCACACUGGAACUGAGACACGGUCCAGACUCCUAAGGGAGGCAGCAGUAGGGAAUCGUCCGCAAUGGGCGAAAGCCUGACGGAGCAACGCCGCGUGAGUGAUGAAGGUCUUCGGAUCGUAAAACUCUGUUACUAGGGAAGAACAAAUGUGUAAGUAACUAUGCACGUCUUGACGGUACCGAAUCAGAAAGCCACGGCUAACUACGUG
rnacentral:rRNA from 1 species